GCCUCCUUAGCUCAGUUGGCAGAGCAGUUCAUUCGUAAUGAACGGGUCGUCGGUUCGAGUCCGAUGGGAGGCU
rnacentral:tRNA from 2 species